CUGAUUUACAGACAGAUUGCUAUUGUAGUAAAAGUCUAGGAAAAUAUGGCAUCGUUGAUGAUGGAAACUGUCCAGUUUGUGAAUCCUGUACCAAUCAUCGUGGUCAUAUAUCUAACCAUACCAUAGCCCUGUACAGAACUUACGAUAAAAAUUGUGGGAGUGUACCUGAAAUAGGAAAUUCUACCUACACUAUAAUACAUGGUUAUGAUCAUGAGAGUGUCAAUGGAUUCGGUACUCAGUUGACCUUCACCUGCCUUGAGGGUUACGAAUUUCCUGACUUUCAGACAUCUAAAAUCAUUCAUUGUUGCAAUAACAAUACAUGGAACCUCCAACUUGAUUCCUGCAAAUUAAAGGAGUGUCCUGUCCCAAUUCCUGUACCUAAUAAUUAUAUCGAAGGCAAAUUGUACCAGUUUAACAGUACCGUGAAAUAUUACUGUAACCCGGGGUUUGAAUAUAGCACCGGUGCUACAUAUUACACCUCGGUGUGCCAGGCAAAUAAAGAAUGGACCAGCUUACCGCCAACCUGUGAAAGAAUAUCGUGUGUAGCUCCACCUAUUGUUGAGAAUACUAUUAUCACCGCCACACCACCAACAGGUUAUCUCUAUAAUGAUAGUAUUACUUAUACCUGUAUACUAAACUCAGAUAAACCAGACAACACAACACAGUCUACGAUAAGGUGUACAGAAAAUGGUACUUGGAGUGAAACACCGCCAGAUUGUGAAUUGUAUGCUUGUUCAACUCCACCCGAUGUAGUUGGUGUAGCAGAGAUAAUAAUGGUAACUCCUGAUAUAACCCAGUACAACUGUCUAGAAUCUUAUCAAUUUUCUGAUAAUACAACUCAGAAGAAUGCGUCCUGUGGUUUAGAUUUUCAUUGGAUACCUGUCAAUGAUAUCUGUAGAUUACCAGAUAAUUUGAUAACAACUGAGGGCUAUUUCUGUCAAGUACGAGACGGAAUUAGACGAACAACAAAUAACAUGAUCGCCUACAAAUCUCGCAGUAGAAUGGAUUGCGCUUUGAAAUGUGUGAGCAAUGUGGAGUGUUUAUCAUAUAACUUUCAUUCGGGUUAUGAAAAUAACUGCGAACUUUUGAUGCAACCACUAGAAGAUAUUCAGGACACUACUGAAGAACAUUGGUAUGGUUACAAUGUGGCGUAUCGCUUAACGUGCCCAUCCAAUACAAAUUGAAACUGUAUUGUAAAUAAAAAACGAACGCAGCCGAAAUAUGUAAUAAUAACAUGCAGAUAUAGGUUGCAAUAUUAUUAGCGGCUGGUAUUAAACAGAUGUUGCGUAAAAAAUAUGUUAAUUCUAGAAAAAUUACAUGUAACCAUUGGUGUAUAUAAAUGUUAUUGCAAGGAAUUAUAUAUUUAUUAUUCUAAAUGAAAAAGAGAAACAUCAGGAGCCUCUAUUAGCAUUUAUGUGAGAGUUUAAGCGCAAUUUUUGAAAAUAUAGGCGUUACAGCAGCAUUCUUCAGUUUGUAAAAUCUUUUGUUGCAUAGUGAUCGUAUAAUCUGAUAAAAAGACCGAGGAACUCUUUAAGAUGGAUGUUCAAUUACUGCUAUGUAGUUAUGUUGUGAUCUGUCAAGAUACAGAAUAUAUACAAAAUUAUAUUUAUUGGGUGUAAAAAGUUUUUUGUGAAAGCUAUUUUAAGCAGCAAUAUGAAAAUAGAGGUAGGAUAUUUUUAGACCACUGAUUGUUCCAUGGUUCAGUAAAAUGUCAAGUUAUUUACAAAUUAAUCACCCCUGCUGCAACUUCUAAACACGGGUGAUAACUUUGUAAAAUAAAUUUAAUACAUUGUUGAUUCCAAUUUUUAAAACAAAUCCCUUUUAAACAAACGAUUCGGUAUUCUGACCAAAAUUGCGUUGGUCUCGACCUUAUCCUACUACGAACAUACUUUUUUUUUUUAUUUUAGCCUUCUUAUAUGCAUAGAACUAAGCUUAUUUUUAAAUCGCAAGAAUUUUUUGAUUGUGCUUAUAUAUUCCUUUACGCUGCACAUGUCUUUUAUCUAAAUCUAACCAUGGAUGUUGUCUGAGGUAGGCUUUUGAAGACCAACCAGUAAAGAUCGCGUUAAGAUUAGUGAAACGGUUUAAGGUGAUUUGUACUAACCCUAUAAAGAACGAAACCUCACAUCAAAGAUUCUUAUAUCCGUUCAAAAAGCCAAUAUUGAUUUAGUUACAAUUUAAGUUUUAAAACGGGCUAAUAAUAGCACCCAAUAACAUAAAAUAUUUUUACUUUUUUGCUUGCUAAUAAACGCCAGAGAAAUAUUUUCUCCUCCAGAUUUUUAAAAAUAAAGAAACAUGAGUGGAUUUAGGCAGGUAGUUUAAUAUCUCGGGAAUGAAAUAGUUUUUGACACAGUAGAAAGAACACUUUAAACAAAAACAAAGGAUAAAGGCAGCUGGGGGUAAACAAAUAAAUCCAAAGCACAUUGUAGCCGGUAUUAUUUAUUUGGUAUUUAACCGUUUGUUGAUUCAGACGAGGUUUGUAUUUUUAACGUUCUUCAUAA